CACAUAUCCGCUGAGUCUCGAGGUUCAGCUGACCCCCCACCUCCUUGCGUUCAGGGCUCCCUCGUGGGAGAGCCCUGGUGCAGCUGGGAUCAGCUCAAGUCUCAGACCUAUGCAGCAGCAUUCAUUCUUCACUCAUUACAUUCAUACUCAUUUUCCAUACAAUUUAUUUUUUUCCUUUUUCACAUUUUUCCUACAGUUUCCACAUUUAGAUGCAUCUUUAUUUAUUGUCCAGUUCCCAUGGGUUUCUAUUAAGUGACGCUGCCCUAAGACACCCGGCACUUAAUAUCAGAUUUCAUUAGGACUCUAUACCAGAAGGCACUUAUCAUAAAGGCACUGGAAUUCCUGUAGACUGACCUACCCCCAUUUUCUGCGCGCGCUUAAUUCUGUAAGGCACCGAACUAAAGUCCGCCUGCUUACACCAUAUUCUGCAAGUCACCGAAUCAGGAUCCGCCUGCUCGCUCUGCGAGUCACCGAAUCAGGAUCCGCCUGCUUGCUCUGUGAGUCACUGAAUCAGGAUCCGCCUGCUCGCUCUGCGAGUCACCGAAUCAAGAAUUCACCUGCUCGCAUUGGUCCCCCCCCUUUUUGUUGCGAGGCACUGGAUUCAAGGUCCACCUGGCUCGCAGGGGUUUCCGGCACCUGCCCCAGCCCGGCAGAACACCACGUCCUGGCGCCUGGAGACAGCCUGGCGGAAUGGGGCACUAUGGCCUGGGGUUAGCCUCAGAGGUCAGUACUACGCCCACAAAUAACAGAGAGAGACAACAAAGCUUCCCCACAGUUCCGUGUGCCGAGAGAGAGUAAUGGCACCACACCAGCUUUUAGCGUCCGAACACAGAGGGUCCAGCGCAUGGCUGCCUCACUAGAGACACCGGUGUGCCCUUUUGGAACUGUGACACAUAAGACAGGCCUAAUAGACAAAGACAGACACAGACAGACAAAAAUGUUAGCCGCUCCACAAAAUUGAAUUCCGUAGCUCCCCUUACCCUGAUGGCUGGCUGUCACUCCAAAUCCUAAGCCCUCAACAGGAGAUUUCGUAACAGGUAUCUCCUUACCUUUUAUUGAGCGCUCUGAGAGGUUUGGAAGUGGAGUGCCGGUCCAUCCAUACGGGCAAGUGGCGCGUUAGGAAUCUCGGUGGAACCUCCAAAUUGUCGAAGCAAA